rnacentral:lncRNA from 1 species
UCUUCGCCUUCGCCCAACAUGCAUAUAACACAAUUUUGUUCAUCAUAACUAUUAGCUGACAAAUUUAUCAUAACAAUUCAUCCACAUACUUUCUGGGACGUAAUUUUUUUUAAAAAAAUAAAAUCUAUGAAUAGCAUAGCUUAUACACAUGUUUUUAUUGUCUAACAAAAUCUUAACAUAACUUGUUCUGAACAAACUUUGAAAUCUAAAAAUCAUUCCUUAUACAUAAAAGAAAAAAAUGAUAGGGUAAAAAAAAUCAAGGUGCAAGGUACAUAGGGGCGGGCACAGCGCCUCGGAGGGAGGGGAAAAAAGGAAAAAAAAAAGAAGGAAGAGUGAACCCAACUUCGGAACCACUUUGGUGAGGCGCGAUCGCUCCAUUCCAGGGCAAACGAUCGCCCUCACUCGUUCAGGAUUUGGGUACAGAAGUAGACUUGACCGAUGACCCCCACAAUCCACAAUAGUCCAGCCGGAGCUAACACGACAAUACUCAUCCCAGGUCCACGGUCGACUGCACAUCACAUUCGGUCUAUAUACAGUACAACGGCGGCACAGUGCGACAGCCCGGUCCAUUCACGGAAGCCAUGCCUACCCUUCUGGUCGUCGUCGUCGUCGUCCUCCUCUUGCCUAAUUGCAUCUCCGAUUCGGCGCAGGCCAACGACGCCGAGCUCCGAGCUCUCUUGGCCAUCAAGAAAGAUUGGGGCAGCCCAGCUGCCCUCAGGUCAUGGAAGAACAGCAGUGCCUCUGCUUCGUCCACUACCCACUGCACCUGGGCUGGGGUUGCAUGCAGCAGCAGCGGUCAAGUGACCGCCUUCUCCUUCCAAAACUUCAACAUAGGCCGCCCAAUCCCGGCGUCCAUUUGUAGUCUCAAGAACCUGGCGUACCUAGACCUCUCCUACAACAACCUCUCCGGCGAGUUCCCGGCGGCAGCGCUCCACGGCUGCUCGGCUCUGCGGUUCCUCGACCUGUCCAACAACAUCUUCUCCGGCGUCCUCCCGACUGACAUGGACAGGCUGUCUCCGGGGACGAUGGAGCACCUCAACCUGUCAAGCAACAGCUUUAGCGGCAGCGUGCCGUUGGCGAUCGCCGGGUUCCCGAAGCUCAAGUCGUUGGUCGUCGACACUAAUGGCUUCAACGGGAGCUACCCGGGCGCCGCCAUCGCCAACCUGACGCGGCUCGAGACGCUAACGCUGGCAAAUAACCCCUUCGCGCCGGGCCCUAUCCCCGAUGGCUUUGGCAAGUUGACGAAGCUCAAGUUGCUGUGGUUGUCAGGGAUGAACCUGACUCAUGGCAUCCCUGACACACUCUCGUCCCUCUCUCAGCUGACGGUGUUGGCUUUGUCAGACAAUAGCCUUCAAGGUGAGAUCCCGGCGUGGGUUUGGAAGCUUCAGAAGCUUGAGCUGCUUUAUCUUUACGGCAACAGAUUCACUGGUGCAAUCGGGCCAGAUGUCACCGCCAUGAACAUUCAAGAGAUCGACAUUUCCUCGAACUCGCUCACCGGGCCGAUACCGGAGAGCAUCGGCGAUUUGAGGAACUUGACGUUGCUCUUCCUCAACUUCAACAACAUCAGCGGGCCGAUUCCGUCGAGCGUCGGCUUGCUCCCGAACCUCGUGGACAUCCGGCUAUUCAGCAACAGUCUCUCUGGCCCCCUCCCGCCGGAGCUCGGUAAACACUCGCCACUGGCCAACCUGGAAGUGAGCAACAACUUCCUCACCGGCGAGCUCCCGGACACGCUCUGCUUCAACAAGAAGCUCUACGAUGUCGUGGUGUUCAACAACAGUUUCUCCGGCGCGUUCCCUGCGGGCUUUGGGGAGUGCAACACAGUGAACAACAUAAUGGCGUACAACAACCGCUUCACCGGAGAGUUCCCGGGGGCAGUAUGGUCGGAGUUCCCCGCGCUGACCACCGUCAUGAUACAGAACAAUAGCUUCGCCGGAGUCCUGCCAGCGGAGGUGUCAUCUAAGAUCACGAGGAUCGAGAUCGGAAACAACAGAUUCUCUGGCGCAAUACCGGCAUCUGCCACUGGCUUGGAAACAUUCAUGGCGGAGAACAACUGGUUCUCCCAUGGGCUUCCGGAGGACAUGUCCAAGCUCGCCAGCCUCAUUCAGCUAUCUCUUGCCGGGAACCAGGUCAGUGGAUCCAUACCAGCGUCCAUCAGAGCCCUUGAGAGGCUUAACUACCUCAAUCUCAGCGGCAACCAGAUAACAGGAGCGAUCCCGGCAGCGGCCAUUGGAUUGCUCCCCGUACUCAGCGUGCUUGACCUCUCAAACAACAAGCUCGACGGCGAGAUACCAGCGGAUUUCAACGAUCUCCAUCUCUCUCACCUGAACCUCUCGUUCAAUCAGCUCGUCGGAGAAGUGCCAACCACGCUAGAGAGCCCCGUGUUUGACGCCGCCUUCUUGGGCAACCCUGGCCUCUGCGCCAGACAGGGCUCCGGCAUGCUCCUCCAGACAUGCCCCCAUGGAGGAGGUCAUGGCUCCGCUUCCGCCAGAAUGAUCGUCGUCGUCCUAAUCGCGACAGUUUCCGGCGUUUCUGCCAUCGGCUUCGUCGCUGUCGUGGGAUGGUUCGUCCUCCGCCGCAACCGCAAGAGCGACUCGUGGAAGAUGAUACCAUUCGGGACCCUGAGUUUUAGCGAGCAGGACAUAAUCAGCAACAUGAGCGAGGAGAACGUGAUCGGCAGAGGCGGGUCAGGGAAGGUAUACCGCAUCCAUCUCGGCGGACACGAAGCAAGGGGACACGGCGGCGGGGCCGGUCACUCGACGACGACGGUGGCCGUGAAGAAGAUCGGCAACGACGUCGACGGCGCGAACCACGACAAGGAGUU